GUCAUAUUAUAAUAUGUAUUUGCAUUUCAAGUAAUCUCUGCUUUAAGUUGAUUGGAGAAUACCUUUUUGUUAGAUAAGAAGAAUAAACAUUUUUUGUUGCACCAUAUCCCUGGAUCUCAUUGAAUGUUUGGCCGUUUGGAAACAUUGAGUGUGGASUGUAUGCGUMCGAAACAACCCCGCUUCAGGCUUGGGCAGUGGCUACGGUAAAGAGGAAAGGAAGCCACUACAUGCCUAGUUAAAUAAAUAAAGGUUAAAUGUUCUGACAUCCGUCAGGUCCAGGUCUGCAGUGGGAUCAUCUAGAAGGACGGCCUCCGGGCCUCGAUCCACCACCCCGACACUUCCAGAUACAGUCCCGCCCUCUCCUUCACUGUCCAAUCUUGCAGCUUGCUGCCCGCCUACAACUGCUACAAACAACCAAUCAGCAACUGCUCUGUCGCCAAGCAACAACCAAUCUUCAUCGGAGCUGAGUAGUCUGGGCAGUAUCAACAAGAAGGCCAAGUCCAGGCCUGUGGACAAGGACGGACGCUACAAGAACCGUCUCAGCCACACCUCCGCCCCCAUGUACCUGUCCAAGGCGAAGAGACCUGCCCCUGCCCCUGCAGGAGACCUGGGGGUUGUAGGUGGGGCCACGAACCGUCUGCCUGGCCCGGGUGGGCCUGGAGGCCAACAGAACCUGCCUCAGAGACAACGCCGGGAUAACACACACAGCAACACAGAGGAGGAAGCAGGGGAAAUAUCAUCCCCUUCCCUUAUAGAUCUACACAUCCUGGAGACACACCAACACAUCUCAUCACACAACUGUCCCCAUCCGGACAGCUGCAGCUAUACCGUACCACUCUCAGCAACAAGAACUCUUCCAUGACACAGAUCACUCUACACAUGAUUUCCAGUGCCAGCGUGUGGGUCAAGACAGUGUGGAAAGCCAC